GAUGAACGCUGGCGGCAUGCCUAACACAUGCAAGUCGAACGGGAAAACCGGGAAACGGUGCUUCUACUGGCGGCGGGGGGAGUAACGCGUAAGAACCUGCCCUUGGGUGCUGAACCACAGCUGGAAACGGCUGCUAAUACCCCGUAGGCUGACGAACAAAAUGCGGAAUCCGCCCGAGGAUGGGCUCGGGUAUGAUUAUCUAGUUGGUCAGUCAAUAGCUUACCAAGGAGAUGAUCAGAAGCUGGUCCGAGAGGAUGACCGGCCACACUGCGACUGAGAGACGGACUAGGGACUUUUGGGAAGUGGGAGUAAGGAAGAUUCCGCAAUGGCCGAAAGGUGGAGGGGGCAAUGGCGUGGUGAAGUAGAAGGCUUACGGAAGGAGAACUGCUUUUCAAGGAGAAGAAGCCAUGACGGUACCUAAGGAAUAAGCAUCGGCUAACUCUGUG
rnacentral:rRNA from 1 species